UACGGAGGGUGCAAACGUUGCUCGGAAUCAUUGGGCGUAAAGCGCGCGUAGGCGGUUAUCUAAGUCGGAUGUGAAAGCCCUCGGCUUAACUGAGGAAGUGCACCCGAAACUGGAUAGCUAGAGUACGAAAGAGGGUCGCGGAAUUCCCGGUGUAGAGGUGAAAUUCGUAGAUAUCGGGAGGAACACCGGUGGCGAAGGCGGCGACCUGGGUCGAGACUGACGCUGAGGCGCGAAAGCGUGGGGAGCAAACAGG
rnacentral:rRNA from 1 species